GACGAACGCUGGCGGCGUGCUUAACACAUGCAAGUCGAACGGAAAGGCCCUGCUUUUGUGGGGUGCUCGAGUGGCGAACGGGUGAGUAACACGUGAGUAACCUGCCCUUGACUUUGGGAUAACUUCAGGAAACUGGGGCUAAUACCGGAUAGGAGCUCCUGCUGCAUGGUGGGGGUUGGAAAGUUUCGGCGGUUGGGGAUGGACUCGCGGCUUAUCAGCUUGUUGGUGGGGUAGUGGCUUACCAAGGCUUUGACGGGUAGCCGGCCUGAGAGGGUGACCGGCCACAUUGGGACUGAGAUACGGCCCAGACUCCUACGGGAGGCAGCAGUGGGGAAUAUUGCACAAUGGGCGGAAGCCUGAUGCAGCAACGCCGCGUGCGGGGUGACGGCCUUCGGGUUGUAAACCGCUUUCGCCUGUGACGAAGCGUGAGUGACGGUAAUGGGUAAAGAAGCACCGGCUAACUACGUGCCAGCAGCCGCGGUGAUACGUAGGGUGCGAGCGUUGUCCGGAUUUAUUGGGCGUAAAGGGCUCGUAGGUGGUUGAUCGCGUCGGAAGUGUAAUCUUGGGGCUUAACCCUGAGCGUGCUUUCGAUACGGGUUGACUUGAGGAAGGUAGGGGAGAAUGGAAUUCCUGGUGGAGCGGUGGAAUGCGCAGAUAUCAGGAGGAACACCAGUGGCGAAGGCGGUUCUCUGGGCCUUUCCUGACGCUGAGGAGCGAAAGCGUGGGGAGCGAACAGGCUUAGAUACCCUGGUAGUCCACGCUGUAAACGGUGGGUACUAGGUGUGGGGUCCAUUCCACGGGUUCCGUGCCGUAGCUAACGCUUUAAGUACCCCGCCUGGGGAGUACGGCCGCAAGGCUAAAACUCAAAGGAAUUGACGGGGCCCCGCACAAGCGGCGGAGCAUGCGGAUUAAUUCGAUGCAACGCGUAGAACCUUACCUGGGUUUGACAUGGAUCGGGAGCGCUCAGAGAUGGGUGUGCCUCUUUUGGGGUCGGUUCACAGGUGGUGCAUGGCUGUCGUCAGCUCGCGUCGUGAGAUGUUGGGUUAAGUCCCGCAACGAGCGCAACCCUUGUUCACUGUUGCCAGCACGUUAUGGUGGGGACUCAGUGGAGACCGCCGGGGUCAACUCGGAGGAAGGUGGGGAUGACGUCAAGUCAUCAUGCCCCUUAUGUCCAGGGCUUCACGCAUGCUACAAUGGCUGGUACAGAGAGUGGCGAGCCUGUGAGGGUGAGCGAAUCUCGGAAAGCCGGUCUCAGUUCGGAUUGGGGUCUGCAACUCGACCUCAUGAAGUCGGAGUCGCUAGUAAUCGCAGAUCAGCAACGCUGCGGUGAAUACGUUCCCGGG
rnacentral:rRNA from 1 species